CAAAAAGUCAGCUUAGCAACUAAAUUUUAACUGCAAGUUUGAUGGGGAAGAAGAGGAGAUUCAUUUUAUAAGUGCUGAAGCCCCAGAGAGCUGACAGAAUUACUGAAACCAGUGGUGCAGACGUGGAAAAUUACAGACAAAUCUCCAGGACCUGAAACCAGCAUUUCAUGUCUCAAAGUUCAAGAAGG